rnacentral:pre_miRNA from 1 species
CACGAACAUAGUAUUGUGUUUAUUGAUCACGAACAUAGUAUUGUGUUUAUUGAUCUCGUGAUCAAUAAACACAAUACUAUGCUCGUGAUCAAUAAACACAAUACUAUGUUCG